ACUGGACAGCAGCCGGGGCUGCGCGGCGGGGCCGACGGGCGGGCCGGGCCUGGAGAGCCCCUCAGUCCCACAGCCCAGCCAUGCGUCUGAAAACCUUGAGCCCAGCCAAGACGGAAGGAAAUGGUAGCGGAGCGCGGCCUGCUUGAGCUGCUGUGUUAAAGUGAGGCCGAGGAAUAAAUUCUCAUGCAGAAGACCAUAAAGGAGGUUUCCACAGUGAUGGAGGGAAAAGAAACCAACCUGCAUUACCUUUGAAAUACGCCAGAAAGUGACCUUCCAGAGAGAUGGUCUUGAGGAAAAAGAUCCACUACGUAUCAGAAUGAAAUCU